CUGAGUGUUCUAUAUUCUUGGACUGAUCAGUUACCGGUUUCUUUGGCUUUUUUUCCUGGUCAUAGCCAUCAUGGAACUAUUCAGCUAUUCAGCCUCUUACCAUACUGAUGUUCCUCAGAAUUCUGCCUGAGUCUUCUAUCACACACCUGCUGGCUACAUCCAUUCCAUAACAUCAGUUGUUCAAGGAAGUAUUUCCUCCAAAUGACAUUUAACUGGUGACCUGAAAAAUAAGGAAGCGACUGUGAGGCAUCUAGCCAGAUACAUUAGGCUGAACUUUAGGCAAUGGGCUAGGACUGGCAAAUACAAAUGUGACUGUCAUCAACUCAUAGAAGAACCAG